UCAACAAAUGUUCACUCUUUCUUUAACGAUUUCCCUCCAAAAUAUGUGAAUCUAAACUAACCUUUGGCUGCUACAGCCUCCCUAACCUAUCCAAUCAGCUUCAUCUAAGGAGAGGAAGUGACUGGACUUACAGGAAUGAGACCCUUUCUGCUGCCCAGCACCCUGCAAACAGUAGGCUGUCUAAAAUACUUAUUCAAAAUAACUGAUUAAAAGUUAGCAUGGCUUAUGUCUGGAUAUGCCCCCAAAGCCUGGUGGGGGCAGGCUUUUGCAGAGUUAGCUGAGUCCAGAAUGUGUGACCGGUCUGUAGUGCGGUGCAGCGACUACCAGUGCUAGGAUUAAGGCUGUGAUGGCUGGAUCAAUCCACUGAUUAGAUCAGCACUGUUCUAAUCCCAGCAGUCUGAAAAGAUAAAAGGAGAAAAGAGGCCUGGUCCCCCGUUUGCUCUUGCUGCUUUUGCUGUCUUCUGCUGCCAUGAACGGUUACCCCUCUGCCAUGUGCCACCCUGCCAGGGAGCCAGCUGGUAAUGGACUGAAACCUCUGCAAACUGUAAGCUAAAUAAAUCUUUCCUUCCUUCAUUCCAGGCAUUUUGUCUCAGCAACGAGAGAAAAGUAACUAACACAAAAGAAAAUUAUUAAACGUAGUAGGGGGGAGGAAUCUAUAAAUUUCUUUUACCUUAAGGUUAUGCCUAAUAAAAGUCCUCCAGAUACCCACUUCACAUAUAAUUCAGCAAAAGAAACACGGUGAACAGCAAAGGGCUUCUAUGCACGCGGGCCUAGGAAUGCCCCCAGUACAUUCUGUUUACACUAGUACUGAGCGUGCACAGCCCCGAGAACAGCCCCACACACACACACACACACACACACACACACACACACGGCUCUGUCAGGAAUCGGAACUACAGGUGCAGUCUUUGGGAUCUUACUCAGGAAAAACCAGGCUGUGCAUCUAGAGAAUCUGCCUCCCGUGUUCUCGGCCACUUCCAUGCUAGCAAGAUGCCUGCUCUGCUGUGAGCUGCAGUGCCUGCGCUGGGCAGGUGAGGUGCCCUGGCGGCCACGUGACCUCAGUCGGAAUUUCAGCACCGCCCAGCCAUCUAUGCACCGUGUUCCUGCUAACUUGACGGUCAGCGUCCUCCGAGGUGGACGUGAAAUCACAGCACCCGCUCGAGUGUCGCAGGCUGUGCGUGAUGUGAUGGUGAAGAUGUGGCCAAAGUGCAGAUCGCUGCCUCAGGUGCCCUGACCCCACCAGCAGCUCGCCGGUGAGUGUGCCCUGGCUAGGUCCUGGGGAAGUGGAGAGGGUGGUUCAAACACGAGGUUAGACAUGAGGUUAACUGAGAAAAACACCAGCAAGGACAGGGCCGGAGGAGGGACAAAGGAAAGGCAGAUAGAGUCCACCUAGGGCAGAGACUCCAGAAAGCCUCGCCCUCUUGGGAGUCCCCAGGCAGAAAGGCAACAGGGCUGGGUCAGCACUAGUGCCCUCACCAGCACCACAGCUGGCUCCUGGCUACUGGUCUUAGGACCACAGGUGGCCCUCAUCCUCUGGUCCUGCUACGCAUUUUAACUCCCUUGCGCUCAGCCAUGGCUCUGAAGGGCCUGGUCUGUAGCCUUUGAGGACUCCCAGUUCCCACAGGCCUUGGGCCCAUACGUUCCAGCACAGCACCAUGGCUUGGGGAGUACCAGAAAGGCCCACGUACACCUACUGGGUUCUGCACAACUUCCUCCUGGUCCUGUCCUCUUCUUCCUGCUGAGCAUGGACCUCACCUCCAGCACAGUGACUCCUGCCUUGGGGGCCCUGGAGACAAGGGAUCCAAGGUGACAGUUCCACUUUCUGAUUCAAUGGGACACAUACAUUCCUCUGGGAGGACCAAGCCUUUGGUCCUUCAUAAGCCCCGACCUUUGGGGACAGGAAGGACAAAGUUCCCCACAGGUCACUCACAUGGGACCCCAGCUACUUUGACUCUCACUCCUGGACCUGCGAUUCUGUGUGUUGUGACACAGCCCCAUUUGAAGACCUCUGGCUGAACGCGUAUCCCACAGGAUGAUGGCCGAGUCCUCUCUCAGAGCCAUCCCAGCACCCUGUGGGGCUGGCUGCUCUGGGUGGAACUGUGUGUGAUGCACACAGCCGGCCCAAUUCCAUUCACUCAUCCAUUUGUCCAGUCACUGGUUUGUUCAUUCAUCUACAGCGCUGCAGAUUGAACCCAAGCCACGUGUUGGGAUAGUUCUCUACCACUGAGCGACAUCCCUGGCCUUUCUGGGGGAAGAGAAGGUGUCUCGCUAAGCCAUCCAGGCCAACUUCAAGCUUGCAAUCCUCCAGCCUCAGCCACUGAGGCCUGGGACUCCAGCUGUGACCUGCCACACCCAUCCUGAUGGCCCCAUGGAGCCAUCAGGAUCACCCCAUUGAGCACAGAUCACAAGGCCUGCCAUGGAACACGGUCCUCAGGCUUCCGGAGCCAUUCCACUGUAAGCCCGCCUCACCCUCUGGGGUGCUGGGGCCUGAUCUCAAAGAACUGCUGCGCUCCUCUUGGGCAAGCUUACUUCCCACUCAUAGUUCCACCCAUGGUCACUGAGAAACCCCAGACUGGUCUUUAUUUGCACCACCACACACACGGAACACGUGCUUCACGUGGCAUCUGCACACCGGCUUCCUCCGUGCUCUUGAGCUCACUUCACAUCCCACGGCAUCACCCACUUGCGAUUAUUCCACUCACAGCGAGGCCAGCACUGUGCUGAGAAGAGGGCGCACGCAUAUCCCAUCACCCCUGGCCUCUCCCUCUCAGGGCCCGAGCUUAGACACUGCAGUGCUGCAUCCUUCCAUUGUCCUACUGUGAGAGAAGAGAAUCAUAAGGUUCACUUCAGGGCUAUCGAAGGGAUGGAAGAUGACAGCCCCCAUCAGUGAGUGGUUAAGGUUGUCAACAAAGCAACGUCUGGAAAGAUAAACAUCAGCGUGUUCUAGAAACACUCAAUAUACAGAACAAGGUAUUUUACUAUGGCUUUAAUCUAAUUGAAGGCUUCUGUGGUUCCUGUAAUUAACCAGCAACAGAGUAGGAUUAAUAAAGCCAAGCCAUGAGCUCUGCAUGCAAGAGCUGAUUGGUGGUAUCUUCUGAAGCAGGUAAUGAGAUGACCGCCCGAAGGUGCUUCCCUGCCAUCGGUCAGGUUUUAGAGGAAAGUCGGAUUGCUCUGGACUGACUUACCACCUCUGAAAACACAGCAGGCUGUCUCACUCUGGGGAUUUAUCUCGCUGCAUUAAUUAAAACACUGUGAGGAAUUCUUUUGUUUUCCUUUUGUGUGUUGUUGACAUGGUCUCACUAUGUAUUCCAGGCUAGCCUUGAACUCACUAUGGAGCUCAGGUUGCCCUUAAAUCCAUGAGGAGCCUCCUGCCUCAGCCUUGCAGAUGCUGAGAUUACAGGUGUGCGGCACCACACCUGGCCAGGAAAUAGUAUUCUGACACCCUAGCUUGAUGUCUUGGGAAGACCUUGGCCAAAAAGUAGGAGACCUGAGCGUGGCGAGUUCUUCACUAGAAAAGGAGCGGCGGGCCAACCCUUUGACCU